GACGAACGCUGGCGGCGUGCUUAACACAUGCAAGUCGAACGGAAAGGCCCCCAUCUUGGUGGGGGUGCUCGAGUGGCGAACGGGUGAGUAACACGUGGGUGAUCUGCCCUGUACUUCGGGAUAAGCUUGGGAAACUGGGUCUAAUACCGGAUAGGACCAUGGUUUAGUGUCUCAUGGUGGAAAGAUUAUUGUUUUGGUGCAGGAUGAGCUCGCGGCCUAUCAGCUUGUUGGUGGGGUAAUGGCCUACCAAGGCGUCGACGGGUAGCCGGCCUGAGAGGGUGGACGGCCACAUUGGGACUGAGAUACGGCCCAGACUCCUACGGGAGGCAGCAGUGGGGAAUAUGGCACAAUGGGCGCAAGCCUGAUGCAGCGACGCCGCGUGGGGGAUGACGGCCUUCGGGUUGUAAACUCCUUUCGUUAGGGACGAAGCCGCACUUUUUUUGGGUGUGGUGACGGUACCUUUGUUAAGAAGCACCGGCUAACUACGUG
rnacentral:rRNA from 1 species